rnacentral:lncRNA from 1 species
CUGGCCUCCGACGCGGCCUCCUGGACGCCGGGGGCUCUCCCCGUCGGCGUUCCGCGGCAGUCCGAGGCGCGCAGCCCCGGAGCCUCACCCUUCUACCUGGGGUGGCGCGGCGGCCUCCCGCCGGCCACGCGGCAGCCGGGCCGCAGCCGCACUCUCCGGGCUGCAGAGAGCGGACUGAGCGGCGCGCACGCGGGGCCGCACCCGCGCCUCGUGUACGCCGGGACGCCGCGUGGGCCUACGGCCUUCGGACUCCGCGGUGCCGCCGGCCACGGAGCGUGGGCGCGGGGAGGGGGGCCGCGCACACCGGACCCCGGGCCGGGCGGGGAGGCGGGCGCCGCGGGGCCGGGAGGCCAUUUUGAGAGAGCGAGGAGCGGCGGCAAGAUGGCUGCGUGGGCACGAGGUAGGUCGCGGCGCGGCCCACAGGAGCGGAACGCGCGUCGAGCGCGCCCGCCCGGCCGUCCCCGCCGCCGCGCUCCGGGCGAAGGCCCUUCGGCCGCCGGUGACGGCGGGAGGCCGGGCCCGCGGACGGCCGCGGGGCCCUCCGUCGCGGCUGCUGCGCCCCGGGCGGGCCGGGGCGUGCGCUCCCGCCGGAGCCGCGCGCGAGAGACGCGUGCGGCCCGGGCCCUCCUCGCCCAGCCGCGCGCUGCGGGUAGGGGCGGAGCGGUGGCGCCGGCUCGGAGUCCGGAACCGCGCGUGCCUCGCGCUUCUUCAUUAUUUUCGAGGCGUGUCAGGCGCAUGGCCGACGCCCGCUUUUUUUCCUCCCCCGACACCGCGAGGCCCGAGCGGCGAGCAGGACCAGGCCGCCCUGCCCGGGACCGGCUGCGGUCCGGGGCUCGCGGACAUCAGGGGCCGGGAGCGGAGGAACCCACGCGUCUGGUGCGCUUGGCCCGAGGACGGCCCCGGAGGCUCCGUUCGCAUCCACCCGGCGGUGCUGCGGGUGCAGCACAGGAGCAGCACCUCCGAGCUCGGCCCUCCACCCGGGCCUCGGCCCAAAGUCUGAGCGAGCAGUGGCCCCGCAGAGGCCCCCUUCCCACCGAUUGAAUGAUUUAAGCGCGGUUCCCUUCCCCCCACCCCCCACCUCUAACUGCCCCUAUUGAUCCACCGCUGUCCUAAGGCAUUUGUACAGUGACUAAGAAACUCCAGUUCUGUUCGUUUGUGUUUGUAUUGAGUCCUCGCUUCGUACCUGGCGGGGUACUAAGCACUUCACGUGCAUUCGGGCCUCAGCUUGACAGGGAGAGUGGUGGCGAUUCCCUCUUUGUGACUUUGGCUGUAGCCAGGUUGUGGCAGAGUCCAGAUGUGGAUUCGGGGCUGUCUGCCCGAACGUCUGAGUUCUUAACCACAGGCUCUGCACAUGCAUACGUACGCACAGACACACGGAUUCAUCACCAUCGUGAUCUCAUCUGUCCAGCACCGAGUCUGUCCUGAAUCCAAGCCCCAUCUCCGCACAGCCCUACCUCGCAUAUGAGAGCUCUCCUGUCAUACCCUGCUCCCCCCGCCCCUAAUCUCCUGGCCUGAAGUCCUGGCCUAAAAUAACUGUUGUAUUCAAUAUUGGUCUGAGCCUCCUGGCAGCCAAGACAAAGAAGAAAAUGGGACAAUUUAUAACCUUGUUAAAAAAAAAAAAGAAGAAGCAGCAGCAGCUGAUUAGGGUUUUUAGGGAUAUGAACAUUUCUUCCUCUGUAAGAUUUAUAGAAAAUUUAAAGCUUGGUUAUUAUGGAGGUCAACUGCUUAUGUCACAGAUGAGGAACCAGACCCAGAGAGGUUAAGUGAUUUUCCCCAAGGUCAUAAAGUUAGCUGGCAGAGCAAGAACUGGGGUCCAGUCCAAUCAAUUCCCAGUUUCCCAUUCUUUCGUGAGCAGGUUUUAGUGGGUUUCUCAACAGUGAAAUAGUUCAGUUACGUUUGGUGACCCCUCCAUCUUCCAUAAAUUCUUCGGACCUGAAUGCUGUCUGUUCCUUUCUUUUCCCUCCGUUCCCACUGCUGGGCCGGGCUCAUCGUUGUGGAUGUCUGUAAAUAUUUGGUAAAUGAAUACGUGGUUCUAAAAAACUAAGCUUCUGGCUCUUGGAAAUGGUGGCGGGGGUGGUGGAGGGAGAGGUUCUAAGUUGUUUUUUGAAGGGACUUGGUUUUUUGAAUGUUGCAUCCCUGAGCCCAUGAAUUCCUUAGAUUUCUCUCUUUUAGCAAGUGGUGUGACCUUUUGGCAGUGGUCUGGCCCCUAACUGUCCUGUCACGUUGUUGGUGUUGUGGGAAGGAGUCAUGUCUCUCCUGAAGGACUGUGCUGUCAAUGAGAGCCGUAGGUCCCUUUAGAGUAACUGACGAAGGUUUCCCCGUUACACCGGCACAGUCACCGUGAGACCUGGUGGACCCAUUCUUUUGUCUUGGGGUGGAGAGCCAGCCUUUCUGUGCCAGCCCAGCUUUGGUUCCUGUGGCUUAAGUACAAAUAGCAGAAUGUAGUUCACCAGGUCCCCAGAACUUCCACAGAUUACUAAGUUUCCAUGGCUCCCAAAAGGUAGCCAGCCUUUGAACCCUGGCAUGAUAACUGUAGGUGCUGAAUGCAUUUAGUGAGCCUGCCACGGACCAGAGUCUCUGAAAAUUUGUACCAGAAAGUUGUCAUCCUUGGGUGCGGAGAGGGGGGUCUCCUUCUUGGUGAGGAGCCCCUAUUGGCAGAAACGCUCCAACACAUCCUGGCCAAAUCCUGACCAUCAUCUUUGGGCUGGCUCUGGCCAGGCAAAGCAGGGUGGAGAGCUGAGGCCCAGUUUACAGCGAAAGCCCCAGCUGUGGAAGAAAAACAGGGUUCAGCUCCCCAGAUUAGUUACUGUCUACAAGGAUUAAAGGCCCCAAAUAAUGGCUGGCCUCUCCCCUCCUCCGUGCCAAGGGAAGACAUGUAAAUACAGCCGCACGCCAGCUUAGGCAGUAGAUGUGUAUAAAUCGAAUUUAGCAAAUCAGAUCAUGGUUUAAAUGCACUAUUUAAAGCAGUCCUGCAGUGAAGCCUUUUACAAAGGGAAUAAUCAUUUUGUGAUGCUAAUCAUCGGCGUCCAAUUUAUCUCCUUUGUAAGUUCAGAUGUUGGUGCACUGGGUGUUCUGAAAUUGGGGCGCUCUUGUGUCAGGCUCUGGUGGUGGCUGUCUGCCUUCUUUUCUUGACCUCUCAUUUUAAAUGGGUGCAUGUCCUUGUCUCACUGGGGGCCUCAGGAUGCUUGUCACUUAGGCUGAUAGUUCUCAUCCAUCUCACCCAUCUUUUUAUAAUCUGAUAGAGCCCACCCUUCAGCUGCUCCUGGCCCCUUUUCUGAGAUUUGCACCCUUCCUGGGGGGGAGAUACAGGCCCUGCUGUUCUCAGGGUAUUAGAGCCAACUCCCCGUCUGAUCUGAACCUUCUUUUGUUUCUCUGAGUUUCUGGUACCUCCGGUGCUGCUCAUAAAGGAGAUCUCGGAGUCCACUAGAUACGUAGCAGCCUCUGAAUUUAGUAGGUGAAUUAAAGGCAGGCACCCACUUGCUGAAUAGGCACUGUCCGAAAUACUCUCCCCAUUCACGGCCAGAUAACUAGGCCUGGGUGUUAAAGUGACUUUUCCCACAAGUUAAAAUCGGGACUCAAAGGAGAACCUGUCUCCUAAUUGCUAUAAAAGUGUUUUAUACACUGAGCUGUAGUGCCUUUCUUUGCAGAGAAAAUAUAAUAAGAGACCAUCUGGGUGGGAGAGAAAGAAUGAAGGGAAAGGGAUGGAUCAGAGUGGAAUAAAGGAAGUGGGCAGGAAGCUGGGGGGGGGGGCGCGAGGAGCCUGACCUUGCUUAGCUCACAGGCCCUGAUAUAGUGUCUUUGUCAAUGCUGCCACUAUUGGCGCGUUCCUCGGUAAUUAUGACUGUGUGUUGGCAUGGCGACUCCGAGUAAGAAGCACCGGGUAAAUGCACGACUUGUUCUUGCCUUCUAAAGCAGAGAGGAGCUUUUGUGGGUAGUUCCUCCAGGGAGACGCGGCAGAAAAUUCACCAGACCCAGUGCUGGAGCGUGGGUAUUUGCAGCCUGAAGGAGCCGGGUGGCCGGGACUGGGGGCGGCACGCCCUCCUCCAGACCUGCCUCCAAUGCAGAGGUCAGGCCGAACCUCCCUCCUGUUCCUUUCUGUUGGUCUUUGUUCCCGAGCUUGUGAUGUCAAGUACACCCAUCUCUUCUCCCCUCCAGGUUUCCUGUUCCAAACAGGUUCGUGUUGCGCUCGUCCCCCUGAAUUUGAUUUAUCGUAAACUCAGCUGUCUCGUAGGCGGGUAUUAAUUGGGAGGCUGGGAGGAAAGGCCGGUGGGCCCAGCAGUAGGGAUGGAGUUUGGGGCUCCCCUUCCGACCCUGCUCCCCUCUCCUUAGAGAUACUUGGGCCACCUCAUCUUCCCAAAGCUGGGGAGGUUGCUGGAGCCAAGAGUUGGGCCGCCCAGUUAACCGCUGUUGAUCUCAUGAUAUGUGGUCAGCGCAGCAAGCUGAAACGAUGAUACUGGGUUAAACAAAACAUUAUUAAAAUAAGUUUGAUCUGUUUCUUCUUCCUUUUUAAUGUGGUUUCUAGGAAGUUUAAAAUGAUACAUGCAGCUCAUAGUUUAUUGGUCUAGACUAGAGGGCUAAGAUCUCUUCCAGGCCUGAAGUUCAGUAAUGAAUCUUCGUCUGUCCCUGGAAGGUCCCUGGCCAAAGAGAGCUCUCUGUAUAGAAGAAGGCCAUGGAAACGCCAGGCUGGAGGCCACCGGGAGGCUCAGGUCUUAUGGGGCUUUUAGAAGUGCCUAGUACAGCCCCUUAAAUGGGGGUUACCCCACAGUCCUUGGCGACAGAAGGCCUUGAAUCUACAGGCAACAUUUUGUUUUUGGAGUUUAGGAGAUGGGGAAGAAAACCAGUGGGUAACCCCCAGGAGUCUUUGAAUGGAGUUUGUGUGGACAUAGAUGUAGGUGACAGGAGCGUUGUCCUGGGGGCAGAGCACCUCCCCACCCCGCGUCCCUGUGCUUAUAGUGAUUUCGUAGUGUCUCAGGUGUGUGGAGACCACAGGGCAUAGGAAGGUGGCUGUGCAUCUCAAGUUCACACUAAACCCCCUUUAGGCAGGUUUCUUUUGGCCCGAGGGUUCCUCAUUGCCCCUCUCCUGGCUGCCCCUCCUCCCCUCGGCCUGUGCUGCUCUGUGCGAGCUGAAGCUUCUGGGAUGCGCCUUGGCUCAGAGCCAGCGUCGUCUUCUUCGAGAGGCCUCCUGCCCUGGCUCCCUGCCAAGCCUUGAGUCUUCAGAGAGAUUUUCUGGGGAGGUGCUGGGCUCAUCCUGCUGCCAGAGGGCAAAGGGGCCUUCUCACCUCAGAGGACUCCUGGCCAUGGGUCCAGCCUUGCUUCCAGCCCCCUUCUCCUGUCAGAAACUCCGGUUUCCUGCCCCGGAAACCCUGGACUCCGUUAAUGGUCUCCCAGCCUCAGUAAGCCUUGAGUUUAUGAAAAGACAGCUCCUCACACGAGCCUGGGAGGUGAGGAAUGGGCCGUCAGGAAAUCAUAAUGACGCUUGAUAAUGGUGACAGGAACCAUUUAUUGAGCACUUAUGCUGUGCCGAGUCCUGUGCUAACGCUGCGCAUGCUUUAUCUUCUUUUAAGGCCUGUCUCUUUGGGGAGCAGAAAGAAUGGUAAAUGUAAUCCAGGGUCUACCCUUGUUUUUCUAAGCCAGAUGUCAUGGGGUGAUUGCAUGGGGAAUAUCUCAGAAGCUACAGCCCUUGAGUAGGCGGUAGUCUGGGUCCCCCCGUGGGCCCUCAUCUCCCAAGGAGUCUGCCUGGGCUUUGGGGAACAGCAUGAGCCCAUCUGGGUUACUAGAAGGUGGCUCCGAAGUGCCUCCUGCUUUGGACUGGCAGUGUACCUGGAGAGUGUGAGUAGGAGGGCUCAGUGCUGGGCCCUCGGGAGCCUUGGUGAGACUCUAGGAGGGGUGAGAAGUGUCCCACCCAACCCUGGCUUCCUCCUGGUUGUCAGUGUGAACUGUAGCCUGGCUGUGCCUCACUCUGUAAAAUCAGGGGUUAGCCAAAGUCCACCAGUCUGCCCACGGUGCCGAGGGAUCAUACCUGCCCAGGGCGAGGCUGAGCCUCUGUUUUCUAGAAUGUUACAUCCCCCUGAGAUAGCACUGAGUCUUCUGGAGGGGGGUGAGGGAUCCACUUCUCUGUCCAGUCUUGUCUGGUGCUUAAGCAGAGAAUGCUAGACCGUCUUCCUGUCCCCAGAGUUCAGUGGCCCGGGAUAGGAGAGGUGGCAGAUGCCCCCGAGGGCAUGUCAUUUCCUUGGGGAGUGCUGGGGAGAGUGUUAAUAGAGAGGAAAGGCUCAAGUUUACAGCCACCCCUUCCACAUUGAGCCUGCAGCUUCCUUUACCCCAUUUUUAGUUGUUUCAGGUUCGUUUUUCUCUUUUUUGUCAUUGGAUCGCAGGUUUCAAGAUCGUGGUGGUUUGAAGCAGUGCGUGCGGCCCGAUGGGCAUCAGGGGUCUGUCUGCUCUAGUUCAGACCCUUUCGGGCACGUUAUUUCACCUCUCUCUGAGCCCGUUUUCUCAUCUGUCAAAUUGGGGAUAGUAAUACUGAGCUUGUGGCACUCAGGAAUGUCAGUUUGCACCCUCCAUCCGCUGCUGUUAGAGAAUGGGUGUAUAUGUGUUGGGGGGCAGAGGCGGGCUGAGCACGCAUGAGCCAGCAAGGCUGUGCCAUAGGGGACCAUCUCCCUGGUGUGCCGCACAUCGCUAAUGUGUGGAGGCGCAGGGAAAGCAGCCAACGAGGCGUGGGGCUCAGCUCUCUGUCAGUCUCUGGAAUAAGUCCUGGUGUUUACUGACCAUGCAUAAGCUCCAAGCUCCAGUACAGAGAGAACCCCAGGAGAACCCCAGACCUGCUCCCUGGCCCCUCCAAGCAGAAACGAGCCUAGUAAAGCACACAUUCAAGAGUCGAUGGCUUGACUCAGACUGUGGGAGUUAAGAGAGGAGGAAUUAGUUUGGAGUGGAGUCAUCAGAGAAGCCUCACUGUACCCAAACAGGUCUCCUAGGCUGAGCGGGGGAGGGACUCCCCAACAAAAGUUUGGGGAUGGAGCAGCAGGGUAGACUCCUGCAGGACCGGGCCAGAAAUCUGGGUACAGAUGAGCAGGUCAGAUGGUAGAGGCUGAGAAUAAGAGGGGUGGAGGGCAGGCUAAGGGAGCUGGUCUUGUCACCACCAUGUGCAAGAUCCAUGUGGGAGGCUACCGGGCUGGCCUGAGCCGAGCAGGUACCUCCCCUGGGCUCUCACCUCUGAUGGCUCUUGGCCAGGACUUUAGCACCUCUGGACUAUGCCACGGAACCUCGGAGCUCAGGAAUCGGAAGUCUUCCCAUGCCAGGCUAUAUUUUUGCUAUUGCAUUCAUUUAUCCACUCAACAUUUACUGACCGAGCGCUAUGUGUCGGGCUCUGGACAGUGCCUUGCGGAUACAGAGAAGCAAACCACAGUCCCGUGCUCAGCAAUUUAAACUUGUGUAAUACAGAAUUUCAUCUGGCCAUCCAGGUUGGGAAGGCCAGGCUGGGGGAAGGGGUGCUGGGGGGAUGACAGUUCUCACCAGUUUGUAGCUUUCUGGCUUUCCAGUCCCAGAAGCCUCGGAAAGCAGGGUCAGAGGUCAUUUCAUGCUUUGCCUGUGGUGACCUGAAGUUGCCAUUUAGCCUGGGCCAGAACUUUGCUUUUCCAGAUUCCAUUGGUUCUUUAUAGAACUGUGAUAUCCCAAUUGCCUUUUCUUCGUUUGAGGAACAACUUUGAUCUUAGAAAUCAGCAUAGCAGGAACCUAUUGAGAUUUGUGUGUGAGGUUGGUAAGGAACAUCUUCAAUGCAAUCAAAUAAUAAAUUACAUCUGGAAGAAUUCACGUACGGAAGGUUUCUCCUCCUUGGAAGAAAUCAGAUACUGUUUGGGGCAUCCAAGCCAGAAUUCUCUCCUGGUUCUGCUCAGACUGGAUCCUGAGCACAGGGGCUGGCAGGUAAGCCUGCCCUAUAGCAGCAGUGGGCACCCAGAUGCCUCCUGUCAACACAGCUGGAGUUUGAAGAGUCAUCCACAUAGCCCCUAGGCUGGGGCCCGCCUUGCAAAUGACUCCACUGGCCCUAACGCCCAGACCGCAGGCUGUCAUUCUGUCACUUGCCCCAGGAGCAGGAAGGCCAAACAGGUUUUAUUUUAUUAUAUUUUAUUUUAUUUUAUUUUAUUUUAUUUUAUUUUUUAAUUAUUUAAAUAAUUUAUUUAUUUUAUUACUAUUGCUUUGGUGGUUUUCUUGUUGAAGUCAGUGUGGGUGCGUGUGUGUGCGCGCGCGCGUGCGUGCACGUAUGCAUGCAUGUACGUGUGUGUGUUUAGAGAGAUAAAUCUAGAACUUACAUGGUAUUUUUGGUUAAAGUACUUGUCAGAGAUGUAGGAGGGACCAUGCCGUCUCCAUCUGCAUGGAAGGUGGCUCCAGGUCUUUGAAUGGAGCCCCAGGUCCUUGGCCACUAGAAGACUCUCAGUGGACGUAUCUUCCCCUCGGCUCCUGUAUGGACCACCCACCUGCUACUGAUGGCGUAGGAUGAGCGUAUGUGAAGCAGGCUUUCCUCGGUGGGCAAGAAACAGAUAGUGGGAUACAGAACAGUUCUUGACUCUGCUUCCAAAACCUUCCGCUUUCCUCCCAUGGGAACCCAGAGACGUUCUGGAGAGUGAUUUCCCAGGACUGGACACAUGGAUAUCCAGAUGCUGGCAAGGAGUGGGCCUUCCCUACACCAGGGUGGCCUCAGCACCCUUCUGGCUUCCCUUGUGCCUCUUUAGAGGUAGUCUGAAUGAAUGUCAUGUGCACAGAGACUGGCCUUGGGUUUACAUUUGGUAGCCAGUUGACAGCGGUGCUUCAGAGAUGAAGCUCUGAAGCUGACAUUUCCUCCGGGACAAAGCGCGUGCAUAGUCUCCCACGCUAGCCCCUGACACUCCUCCAGAGGAGAAGCCAAGAGCAUGGUUGUCCCGUUUUCCAUCGUGUUCUCUCAUGUUCCUUCUGUCCCCUCCAGGACACAUUCCGGAAUCAGAAGACAGGGAACGAAGAAGCGGGAGCCCCGGUGGAAGAUUCCGAAGGUGGGUCCUGGCCUGACACAGGCCGUGGGUUGUGUGUGCGUGUGUGUGCAUGCGUACGCGUGCGUGUGCGUAUCCACAGUUCAUUCCAGCGGCUGCUCCAGACUCUGUGCACGAUGCGGUUAUGUGGCUGUAGAUGGGUGAUCCAAGGUCGAUUUGGGUCUUGGGUUAUGGUUUUUGUUUUGUUUUGUUUUGUUUUUCCUGAUUCAGGAAUAAAAGAACCCAGUUUGGGGAGGAAAUAAAAAGGAAAAUCCCCUGAUGGUUCUUGGACCAGCUGCCUACUUAAGUUGACCUAUAUGAAAUUUCUUUUUUAUCGAUCUAAAACAGUCAAAUAUCGGUACUUUCAUAUGGUUGAGCCUAAUGCAUUUCUGCUCUGCUGGGCCAGUGCAGAAGGGGUCACCCCUUCCCUGUAUCCUUAGAAGCACUUUUUACUGGGUCUCUGAGAUGUAAACCCUUCGUGUUCCUCUGCAUCCUAUAUACCCUGCUCAAAAUUAUUUUAACCGAAAAGAGGAGAUCACCCCAACCUGUGGGUUCUGCUGCUUGUGAAAACAAUGCCCACGAGGUUCCACUUUGCCCUGACUUUAAGCCACACCAUCUUAAAAUGCAGGAGAGUUAAUAUGACUUUGAACACCUCUCUUUCAGUAUUAAAGAAAAAAAUCCUCAGGGCAGUUCAGACGAGCCUGACUAAGGGCUGAGACCGGUUCCGAACUUUUCUGGCUCGUGGGGCAUUUGCUUCCAUCUGGAUGCCUGGAAUCGUAUUCUUACUUCGCCUCCCGUGUAGUCCGCACUCCUGGGAGACGGAGCAAAGGAGCAGGUCGUCAAGAGCUGGCUCGCAGCCUGUCCAUAACCUUGCAGCCACCCCCGGUGCUGGGCGAGCAGCGAUGUGGGCUUUUGACUGAAUGCCGUCCCGUCCUGCAUUCAUUACACUAUUGUCAGCGUGUGUGUCUGGGGCUGCCUCUGGGUGGGUGUGUUUCUUUUUGUGUCUGCGUGUCAGUGUCAGGCUGUGUGUGUCUGUUUACAUCGGCCUGUCUGGGCCGCUCACUGCGACAAGGAGCUGGGGGUUGUUGGUAGCAGGGAGGGCAUUUCAGAGCCCCAGAUCUCCCCCCUCGGGGACCUCGGGAGAUUUCUAUAGAUGUGCGUAUACAUGUGUACACACACGCACACGUCCAUGUCACGCGCGCGUGUGUGUGCGCGUGGUUUUCUUAAUGGGGCUCAUUGUGUGGGGAUGCAUGGGAGUGUCUGACCAGGUGCGGUGUGAGCAGCCUCGAGGCUGGGUGAGCCCCAUCUGCCGUGAGCUCACAGACUCGCCUGCCCGCCCGCCCGCCUGCCGUCCACCGUCCGUGGGGAGCCUGUCCCUUCGCAGCUCACCAUCUCCUCUCUAAUUUAUUAGCUGGGAAGGAGGAGAAAAUGAAACGUUGCCUGAAGACAAUGGCCGAGACAGCAGGUCCCACCCUGCACAGCCUGCCAGCACCUCUCCCCCCAGCCCCGUCUCCUCCUCUGCAGCUUGGAUCUGUACGUUAACACUGCUCGUCUGCAGAAAGAAAUAAAAAGAACCCCCCCCCCGCCUCGGAACCAAUCUAUAAAAACAACGUGUCUGGCCGUGAACAUGCAGGGGCGGCUAUAGACUGUCAAAGGUGGAGGUUUGAGCCAGACUUUGCUGACUGCUGGCCCGGUGGAUACAAGGCCCCUCAUCCAUUCUUGGGGCCCCCACCUCUGAGUCCUAGGACUUCUCCCCAGCUGCCAGCCAGGCGGGGGAGGGGAGAGGGGCCCAAGCAGCUGCAGGGGCUGUGUUAGUAAACACUUUCCUGGGUUCCCAUUUUCCUCACCACCCCCUACCCUUCUCCACUCCUGAUGCCCCGUUACACACCACCCCCCCCCAACCCCAGCAUCCCCUUUUCUGUGGCCUGCACAAUGAGCUCAUUGUCCUGGGUGUGAUUUGAAUAAGGGAUCGGCGGGCCCGUUCCCAGCAUUGUCCGAGGGGCUGGGAAAAACCCCAGCACAGGCAGGAGGACCAGGCCAGACAGAGACAGAUGCCUAAAUUAGCAACAAAGCUUUGUGCACGUCCCCUGGACAAGGGCUCGCCUUGUUUGCGUGGACUCGAGGGUGUGGAGCUGGCCGGCUGCUCGCAUGUCUCCCCAUGUUAAUUAGUUUUGCAUGCAUGUCUGAGAAGGUGCCAGGGGGGAUGUGUUUGCCUUUCCCCGGGAGGGGGACCUGUUUGUGGCGGUGGAGCUGAGCUGGACCGGGCCUACCUGGGGAGCCGGGCUCUGAGCCUGGGUGGGAAUUUCGGCGUCCUCAUCCUGCUUUUCUGUCUCUCUGCCCUUUGGGGGGCCUGGCUCUGCUCCCUGUACCCCCCCACCGUUCUUACCCUAGCACGUCUGAAAGUUGGUUAGCUCUGACUACAGGGAACUCACUGGCUUCCACCCAGACCCAAGCCAGUGCCUGUCCAUCUGGCAGUCUGUCUCUCGUGACACGGGGCCCCCCGGGACGGGCAGCAGAAGCGGCCAGUCUGGGCUCUCCUCCGUCCCCGAGCCAGAUGGCCAGUCUGCUUAUCGCAUUACGGCCUCCCUUGGCCCCAGACCCCCGCCGCCCACAGUUGGGCCAGGAUAUUAUUUGGGAUAUGAUGGAGAAGCCCUCUUUCAGGCCCUGAACGGGAAAAGGGUCGGGAAGACAGGCGCGAGGCAUGUCCUUGCCACUGGCUUGCUUUGUGACCUCGGGCAGACCAAUUCUCCCCGACACCCUGAAUCUUAGUGUUCUCACCGGCAAAAUGAGUGAGUUGUACUUCCGAAAUCUCUUGGUUCCUUAUAGCUCAGAAUGUCUGUGACGGUGAGCAUUGCAAAGCUGUGUUGAUUUAGCACUCGCCGAUUUAGCCCAAGGACAGGGAUGGGACCCGUGAAUUCCGGCCAGGGGUGAAGGAGGGCAUCGUGGGAAAGAUUUCACUCCCGUUGACACUGGAGCGUGGACCUCGGUUUUGGGAGCGGGUGGGGAAUCAGGAGCUGGCAGAGUGUCUCUUCCUGGGCUCUCACAGACCCCCCGUUAGCAACCCAAGCCCUUCUCCUGCCCCCAUCCAGCAGAAGGGAGCUUGGCGGUGGCAGCAAAGGAGAAGCUGAAGGGAGAGCAGCUGCUGGCCGUGCCCCGGGUAUGUCCGGGUCGCCCCCUGCAGGCCCUGGCAUGGGGGACAGGGUCGAGAAGGGGCUGGAAGCCUGCGGAACUGGGCCGUCAGAGUUUCCUCAUAGUAACGUUGAGAGGUGGAGGGGGACGUGGGGCAUGGCCCCUCGUGUGCAAGUGCAGGGGUCUCAGGAUCCAGUGACCAGGCGGUCUGGCUCCCAGGCCCUCCGCGGCCUUCACCCCCCUCAGCCCCACUGGCCCUGCCCUCUCGCCACCGCUCCCGGGUCAGAAGCACCCCGAGCCUGGGGUGCUCACAGUCCAAAAAGCCCUGUGCCAAAACCUCCAGUUCCUUCCUGUGGGGUCUUUAUCCUGGAUGGACCCAUCCCAUCUCAUUUGUUACAGAUCUGGUGACACCCUGCCUACAGAAGGGAACUCUUUUUCCUGUGUUUGUGAUUUAAAUGACUUGGGAUGACUUUGGUUCAGGAAAUGCUGGGGGGUCUUGGGGAAGAGCUUUGAGUGUCCACAUUCCUUCCCUUGGCCCUUGCCAGCCUCCCCUGCCUCUGGCACUUCCUCCUGCUCUCCCCUCCGGUAUAUGGGAGGCGCCUUGCCCUGGAGUCCGGCAGCCGCCCAGAGGGACCCACAGGGAGCCUCUGGGAUUACCCUUAGGUGGCUCUCAGUCCAGGCAGGGAGGCUCUGGGCCUGCCUCCCAGCGCCCACCUUCCUUCCCUCCCAUGUGGCUGCAGCCGGUCUGCACGGCCCAGCACGCUCACUCCUAAUACCCUGGCUGCCGCUCCCUGCCACUUCUCCCGUCCUACCCUCUCCUGGGCUCCGGGGCUGUCCCAGCUCCAGCUGGGUAUCUGUAGGGGGAGGAUGUCGGAAGCUCAGUGAGGAAGAGCGCAGAGAUUAGAGCUCAUGGCAGGAACACAGAGAAGGACCCACAGUAGGAGUGGGGGAGGGAGACAGGGGAGGCAGGGCCUUGGGACGCUGCCCGCUGCCCUCCCUGCCCCUCCCCACGCCGCCCUCCCGGUUUUAGCUGCCUCAGCUGUAGCCCUGAGCUCCUUAAUCUGGUGAUCAGCGUGGUGCUGGGGGGCGGGCUGGCAGAGGCUUUAGGAGGUGACAGGGGAUCUUGGGAGUCGCACUCUGCUAACCGAGCGUCACGCAAAGCCAGGGAAUCACAUUCCAAGCGCGGUUCCCCCUCCUGAGGCUGGACCCGGCACGAGCGGUGCCCGGUGGAGUGGCAGGGCCCAGGCCGGCGUCACCUUGUUCUUUGUUCCUCAGGAGGAAAAUUCCCAAGACCAAGGCUCUCCAGCCAUUUCUGCGUGGCGAAGGUUUUAUUGUUUGGUGGCUGUCCCCACCCUUACCCCCAGCCUCCUAAGUCCUCUGGCUCCCGUUUCCCAGUUAGAAAAAGACAUCCAUAAGUGGUAGGAAUUCCUCCCCGCCCCCCACCGGCAACCUGUCGGGGUCCAAAGAUACGCAUUUGUUCUGGAACUAAUCAAAUAUGCUGAGCAGUAUGCCUCCCUUGCUCACCAGCUUAGACUGAGUAGCCCUGAGAGAGCCUUGGGGAGAUAGGAAAUUGAGGCAGAGAUGCUGAGCACAAAUCCACGUGGUUCGGGUGGCUUCUGGCACCUCAGGACAGGGUGGCCCCAGCCUGGGACUUAGCUGGAGAGGCGGGACAGAGGGAGAGGUGCUGGGGGCAGAGGCUCUGCUUCUGGCAUUACUGUGCAGCAGUCCCCUAAAUGUCUUCGAGUCUCUAAACUCUCAUCUGUAAAAUGGGAAUAAUGAUCCCCAUCUAUAGAGUUGUAAUGAGGAGUGCUAAGUACACAGGAAACCCUCGAUAGGGUUCGUUUUCCUUCUCCCUUUCCCCUAGGUACAGGGCAGGUAUGACGGCGUCGAGCUCCUCAGGGUCAGGUGAUAUGGCUGGGAUUUGAGGGAGGAGGACAGCGGUGAUAUACGGAAUAUUUAACCGUGGGCACCGGCCAGUCGGAAUGGCAGCUGGCCCAAAUCAUCAGCCCAGGGAGGAGGGCACAGCUGGGCCAGAAUAAGUUCAUUUGUCUUUGUGUCUUUCUGCUCCAUCACGUGUCUGUUCAUCAGCAAGUGCACAGACUUCCCUCGAGGGCAGUUGCUGACAAGGUUGUAGGGUGCGGGCUCCCUCUAUCUCCUUUGCGUUCUGAGCAGGUCAGGUCUGCCUGGCAUGGGGUGCCGUGGCCCCGCCUGGCAGAGGAGCCGGCGACAAAGGGCAGGGAGCUGAGGUCCUUUCCAGUUCGAGGCCCUGCCCUGGUUGUAGCUCUGCCACCAGGCUCUGUGGGGACAAGCUUCUGGUAGCCCCUACCCUCCCUACAUCCCUUAGAGCUGGCCUCCUUCCUGUCCCUUCUUCUCAGAAACAUCGUGGGUCAGGAUUAGGGGCCUGUCUGCAUUCAGAUCCAUUUCCUCCUGCCUGUUUUGUCAUCAGCAGGAGAGGAUCCUGGCGGUGACUGGCUGUGGAGUAUCGGGAGGGUGGUGGUGGCGGUGGUGUGGAGAGCGUUCUCUCAUUUUCAGGAAGGCUUCUGGCCUCAAGGCUUCCCGAAGCCACCCCUUUGCCAACAGGAGCUCCUCUUACCUGGUCCUUCUUUUUUGCCUCAUUGCGUAAAAUCCCUGCCUUUAAGGGCCCAAGGCGGCCUGGUGGAGUGACAAGGGCAUGGGGAGAUACAGCCCCACUUAGCUGCAAGUCAGAGACUUGGCCUGCAGUCCAUCUUCCUGCUGCAGAGUCUUAGGUGAACCAGCUCCCUUUCUGGAGCUGGAAAAGCAGCAUUGGAUAGAAUGGCAUCUAAGGUCCCUUUUAGCUGUGACGUUUUAUAAUCUGGAAGUUCUCCCUGCUUUUUCUCCUCUGUUGCCUGCCAGCAGUCCCCCCCCCCCCCCCCGCCCCACCCAGCCCCCUGGCUCACAGGAAACCCAACCAACUUGGUUCCCUUCAAGUUGCCCUGGGAUGCAGGGAGGCACCUUCACCCCGAGGCUACAAAAAUGAAUACCCAGCUCACUGCUGGCAAGUGUCAUGAAGCUGGGAGGUGACCCGCCCUGGAGCAAGACUUGCGCGCUGGAGAGCACACUUGUCAGCUGAGUUUGUUCCCGGCCUCUUACCGGAAGCCUCCUCUUCUCUUCCCCUUUUCUCUGACUGGUGUCUGCCCAUGUGCCUCUGACUGCCAGCUGCUGGCCCCUUGGGCGGCUUUGCAGUGUUCUGGGGACCCGGCCCGUCCUACUUCCCUGGGCCAGGGCCUUUAGACUUAGAAGCCAAAGCCCCCAGAAACAGUCCAUGGGGAAGACACUAUCUCCCAAUGGCUGGCCCCUCUCCCCAGCACCCCCAGCCAGGUGGCUGUGUCACCGUGUGGGCACAAGUGUGGGCCGUAGCGUCAGGUCAGCAUGGGCUCAGGCCCUUAUAUGGCCAGCAUGACCUUGGGCCAGCCCUUUACCUCUCUGAGACUGUCUCUUUAUGUCCAAAAUGGGAAUAACCACACCUUUCUCAUUAAGUUGCAGUGGGGGGUAGAAUACGGGUAAAACACCUUGAAAUUAUACGGUGGCUGUCUUUUACCUCCCAGUAGAGGCCACAGACAUAAACCAUAAACCAUUGUCUUUCCUGACCCCUUGCCUUUGAGUUUCAGUCCUACUGUGCUGGGGAGGUUCUGACACAACCUUCAGUGAGCACCUCCCCCCAGCCCCAGGGAGCAGAAGUACCUACUUUCAGCCCUAAUAAUACCUGAAUGAGAUUUAUAGGACACCUUCCUCCCCAGAGUGCAAAGCUCCUUCUCACAUGUUAUUUCUCUUGUCUUUAGAUUGUCCUGUGAAGUGUGAUGGGACAGCCUCUUUUCAGCUUCUCCGAAAAUGGAGACAGAGAGGAAAACUGCGGGUCUUGCCAAGGGCACGGGAUCAGAAUCCAGAGCCACGCCACUCCAGGACACUGGAGAUGGUCACAUCAAGCAGAAGUCGAAGCUGCGGGAGCCGCUGUCCUGAGGCUGCAGCGGGCAGGGGCCAGGAUGGAGGAGGCGGCCCUGGGCAAAGGGGCAAGCUCCACCCCUACCCGUGCCCACCUAGGACUUGGCAAAGGACCUGGGGACACGCGCCCUGACCGUCCAUCCUGCCGGGAGGGGCCUCUGCCUUUGGCCAGCGGGCCCCCGUUUCUGCCCUUGUCACACCACGUGCCUGUUUCAGGUCUGCGGUACUCUGACCAGGCCUCCAGCAGACAGAAGCUCUUUGCUCUCCGUACGUCCGCCCCAGAGGACCGAGGGCAGCAGUCUGCGAGGUGGCCAAAGCAAGGGGCUCCAGCCUUCUAGGAGUUAACGACUCCCUCUCCCCAGCUGUCCUCCCCUUGGUGCUCCUCUUCCUCCCUCCUGCCGCUCACAGCAGGCAGGGCCUGGACCUGGGAGCCAGUGCCGCUGUGCUGUUGCCAGGGGAGCUGGGAGGCGGACCUGAGCUAUGCAGGGAAAAGGCCCGGCCUGUCAAAGUGUCUGAGAUGAACCGCCGCCGUCCCCGUGCAGCUGGGCUCAGACGUGUCUCAGCUCUUGUUCUGUGCCUGAGAAUGGCGAAGCCCAGUGAGGUUCAAGGGCACACUCACUAUUCAUUAGUCAGGGGUUCUUGACGUCCCGUCUCUCCCAGGGAUGAGAUCCCCCCCCCCUUCCUCUUUCUCUCCCUCUUGCGACACAUUCCUGGGUGCCUUUGGCAAGGACUGCACCCUCCUCUUCCUCCUGCCCAACCCCCUCUCCGCAGGCCCCUAAACAGACUCCCCGCAAGGAGACCUGGCGGGGCAGAGACAAUGGCCACAGGAAACCAUUCAGGCGGGACUCUAGCCAUGCUGGUCCGCCCUCUGCUCCCAGCACCCUUGUGGCCCCCACCCCCCUCUGACUCAGGGUCCCCCUGGGCCACCGGCAUGCACAAGCCCAGACAGGAGGAAGCCACUGGGCAUUGCCCUUGGGACAACAGGCCUGUUCUCAGCGGGCCCCCGGAUCUCACACAGCUGGCU